rnacentral:rRNA from 1 species
GACGAACGCUGGCGGCGUGCUUAACACAUGCAAGUCGAACGGGAUUUAGUAAACAGAAGCCUCGGUGGAAGAUUACUAAUGAGGGUGGCGAACGGGUGAGUAACGCGUGAGCAACCUGCCUAUGACAGUGGGAUAGCCUCGGGAAACCGGGAUUAAUACCGCAUAAAAUCGUAGAAACACAUGUUUUAACGGUCAAGGAUUUAUCGGUCAUAGAUGGGCUCGCGUCUGAUUAGCUAGUUGGUGAGAUAACAGCCCACCAAGGCGACGAUCAGUAGCCGGUCUGAGAGGAUGAACGGCCACAUUGGAACUGAGACACGGUCCAAACUCCUACGGGAGGCAGCAGUGGGGAAUAUUGCACAAUGGGGGAAACCCUGAUGCAGCGACGCCGCGUGAACGAAGAAGGUAUUCGUAUCGUAAAGUUCUGUCCUAUGGGAAGAUAAUGACAGUACCAUAGAAGAAAGCUCCGGCUAAAUACGUG